rnacentral:rRNA from 1 species
GAUGAACGCUGGCGGCGUGCUUAACACAUGCAAGUCGAACGGGAUCCAAGGAGCGUUUUUCGUUUUUUGGUGAGAGUGGCGAACGGGUGAGUAACACGUGAGUAACCUGUCCUUCUCUUUGGGAUAAGCUCCUGAAAGGGUGUUUAAUACCUUAUGUUCUGUCUGCCUCGCAUGGGGUGGGUGGGAAAGAUUUUUUCGGUGAAGGGUGGGCUCGCGGUCUAUCAGCUUGUUGGUGGGGUGAUGGCUUACCAAGGCUUUGACGGGUAGCCGGCCUGAGAGGGUGGUCGGUCACAUUGGGACUGAGAUACGGCCCAGACUCCUGCGGGAGGCAGCAGUGGGGGAUAUUGCACAAUGGGCGCAAGCCUGAUGCAGCGACGCCGCGUGGGGGAUGAAGGCCUUCGGGUUGUAAACUUCUUUUGCUCUGAACAAGGCGCAUCUUUGGGGUGUGUUGAGUGUAGGGGUUGAUUAGCGCCGGCUAACUACGUG